rnacentral:rRNA from 1 species
GAUGAACGCUGGCGGCGUGCCUAAUACAUGCGAGUCGAGCGAACAGACGAGGAGCUUGCUCCUCUGACGUUAGCGGCGGACGGGUGAGUAACACGUGGAUAACCUACCUAUAAGACUGGGAUAACUUCGGGAAACCGGAGCUAAUACCGGAUAAUAUAUUGAACCGCAUGGUUCAAUAGUGAAAGACGGUUUUGCUGUCACUUAUAGAUGGAUCCGCGCCGCAUUAGCUAGUUGGUAAGGUAACGGCUUACCAAGGCAACGAUGCGUAGCCGACCUGAGAGGGUGAUCAGCCACACUGGAACUGAGACACGGUCCAGACUCCUACGGGAGGCAGCAGUAGGGAAUCUUCCGCAAUGGGCGAAAGCCUGACGGAGCAACGCCGCGUGAGUGAUGAAGGUCUUCGGAUCGUAAAACUCUGUUAUUAGGGAAGAACAAAUGUGUAAGUAACUAUGCACGUCUUGACGGUACCUAAUCAGAAAGCCACGGCUAACUACGUG